GUUUCUGUAGUGUAGUGGUUAUCAUGUUUGCCUCACACGCAAAAGGUCCCUGCUUCAAACCUGGGCAGAAACA